CAAACAAACUGAGACACACACACACACACACACACACACACAAACAAACUGAGACACACACACACACACCCACACACACACUGAGACACAAACACACACACACACACACACACUGAGACAUGAACACACAGACACACACACACAAACACACACACACAAAUACACUGAGACACAAACACACACACACACACACACACACACACAGACAUGAACACACACACACACACACACACACACACACACACACACACACUGAGACAUGAACACACUGAGACAUGAACACAUAUACGCACAAACACACUGAGCCAUGAACACACACACACACACACAUACACACACACACUGAGACAUUAACACAUAUACGUACACACACACACACACACACUGAGACAUGAACACACACACGCACACUGAGACAUUAACACAUAUACGCACACACACUCCCUGAGACAUGAACACACACACACACACACACACUGAGACAUGAACACGUAUACGCACACACACACACACACUGAGACAUGAACACAUAUACGCGCAAACACACACAAACACUGAGACAUGAACACACACACACACACACACACACUGAGACAUGAACGCCCACAUACACACUGAGACAUGAACAAACACACACUGAGACAUGAACACACCCACACACACAUACACGCCCAUGCCCACAUGCCGCAAAUCACUCACACUAACACACAAACACACUGUGUAGUCACAUACGCUUUCGAUACACACACACACACCCACACACAAUGUCUACUCAAACAUGUGUUCAACCGGAUACAAACACACGCACGCUGUCUACUUACUUACUUUCUACUCACAGCCACACACACACACACAUCCAUGUGCAUGUACGCACACACGCACACAAACACAAACACACACACAAAGGAUAAAGAACAGUAGUGAAGUGUACUGAGCAGAUUGUGUAUAUAUGAACACACUAACACAUUCUUUCAAACUGAAAUACACACAUGCAUAAGUUGCACGCACACUCAGAAUAUGUUUAAACAAAUGCUCACAUGACAAAAGUACACUCACACACAACACACACACACACACACACACAUGCACGCAUACGCACACACAUCGCGGAGACCAACUCUCCUGGACAGCUCUCUCCAGGGACGAAUGGGACGGACGGACAGACCCAGUCUCUCCUGUCCGCAAGACUUGUGAAUAAAGAGUGACAGACGUACAGACUGAAUCUGAGGACGUUGAGCAUGGACACGGACCGAGUGCUCUGACUCUGGGGUGGAACUCUGAGAGCAGCACCAUGACCAGAGGCAGGGCGGUCUUCAGAAGAAAGGCCCCUCACUGUACAGAGAGGAACCCCCUGCUGACAACCCUCCGAUGCCUACUGUGUAAAAAUCCGAGGAGAAUUUAAACGGAGGCCACGGAAUGAUGCCGUAGACAAAACACGCCGGCAACCAGUGAGAUGAAAGCCAGCGCCACUGACACGGUUCAUGAACGGACACAUUUGGAAACGGUUUGGUUCACACGUGUGUAAAGAUUGGCUCGGGUUCGGGUUCUCCAACCCGGGCCAGUUCACGUAAAGCGACGUCCUUUUAAGGGGGUACACACAGGCCCAUGCUCAGAAGAAAGUUUGACAAUAACCCCUACCCCCCACCUCCCCACUCCCCCAUACAAACCUCCCCAAACCCGAGGUCAUCAGACAAUGGAAACAGGCCGGUCGACUGAAAGAAUGAGUGGUUGAUUUAAGGACCGCAGUGGUUUGUGUGUCAUGGCCAAACGUGAGCGGGCGGAGCAACCGCUAAUGGGUUUAUGAGAUGGAAAGCAGGAACUCUUACCAGGGGACGGAAACACAAACCAUAUGGGUUCAUAUAUAUUUAUAUUUAUCCUCCUGUCUGAUAUUACUGUUUAUAAUAUAUAGGGUACACUGUAUGUGGUUUACCCCCCUCCAAAUUUGUCACCACAAUACUUGGCCCAAGGGUUGCUUGUUAAUAAUGAAUUAGUAUUCAAUGUAUUAUUAUUAUUUUUAUGGCAUAUGGAGGUAUUGCCUUGGAGUGUCAUACCAGUGGGUGUGACGUACAGGUUUGGUUUGGUCCAAAAUGUAAUUAUUGGUAUGUCCUGGGAAAAAAGUACAUUUUCAGCAUUCGGCUGCUAUUGGAUUCCCUUAGGACCCCACAUUGUAUCUAUUAAGCACCAUGAACCAAACCAAACAGCAACUUAUACACAAUGUUUUAUGUUUCUCUUGAACUGUAUGUGUUAUUCUGUGUUUUUAAUGUUGUUCAUGUGUUAAAGAAAAGGCACGUGCAUUAAGAGCAACUAACAGUAAAAAGUCUUUACGUCAGUGCUUAUGAAGCAAUUAAACACUAUUUAAAGAACUAUUUGGACUAUUGUGAACAUCCGAGUGGUUCUCUGUGUUGAGCAGACCAUUAUGUAUAUCGAAGAAAUAAGGUGUGAUUAUUUAAGUCAAUAAAUAACAUGCAUUCAAUCAUUGUUAAUGAGUAGAUAAUAAAUAUUUAAAAGAAGACCAAUUUUUGCAUCAUGGAAUCGGGGAGCAAUGUCCAGCAUGAGCUAGUUUCUUAAAUAAGUUAUAACUCUGAAUAAUAGUUCAGCGUUCUUCCGUUCUGGACCAACGGAGUAUAAUCGUGUUUUUUCCACUGGUACUGCCACA
ensembl:lncRNA